CUGCCUUCAGCCAGAAGCCCGUCAAGAAGAUGCAUUGACACAAAAGACAGCAGUAAAAUAUUUAAAGAAUAGCUUGUCCAGUGGUAUAUUUUAUAUAUUUUUAGUUUGCACUAUAUAAAGCCUUUCUGCGUGAAUCCAAGCUCUUUCCUUUAGGAAUUUACCAGAAACAGGUUCAUAGUAGUUAUUUACCAGAAAACACUCUGACAUGUCCAGUGAGGGAGAUCCUACCCACCUGUGAGCAUGAGGAUGAGGAGUUUGUUUGCUCCAAGGGAGGAAGACAGAAGCAGUGACUACCUGUGGCUUGAUGCUGAUCAUCUCCUCUCCUGGCUUUGGUGAUCCAGCAAAGUCUGAAAAAUCCUGGCGUGCAAUUCACUCCUAACUUUCUGUGUGCCGAAAUCUGAGAUGAUGUUUUCAUGGUGCUCCUAAACCAAGAUCUUGUUCCAGCCCAUCAUUUCAAUCUGUGUUUUGAAACCCCGCUUAAUCCACUUCCGAUCCUUCCCACAUGGAACCAGCAGCACAGCUUGAUCCUCACAGCAACUAAAUUUUCCACACAGAGAGCUGUGAUCAUUUCAUGGAGAGACAGAAGGCAGCUGAGAUAAAUGUCAGUGGAAUAUGUGGCUGCUAAAUGUGAGCAGCAAAAGCAGUAGUCACCCAAGGCUCAUGAGAGUGUGUGCCACCUCCUCCUUGUUCACCUGCCAGGGAUGUGGAAAAGCAGCUGCAAUUCAGGGAGGCAGCACGGACUGUGGGAUUUGAAAUCACACCCAGAGUCGUGGAGCCAAAUCUCUGUGACUGCAAACUCCAGCUGAGUGUGUGAGAGCUGCAGACAGUGAGAGCUGCAAACCUGGCCACACAUCCCCACUCCUUCCAGGAGCACAACUGCAGCCAGGGCCCUGGGGACUUGUGCAGUGUCUUCCAUCCAUCUGAAGUCCUUUGGAGAACUGGGCAAGCUGGCUUUGCCUGGAAAGGGAGGAUGGGUUAUCCUACUGGAAACCAGCUGGAAUGAGCACAGACCAAAGCUACCCUGAGACACAGCAGUGGAAAACAUUGGAGGAGGAAAUUGCAGAAAACUAAUUCUACCCUUUGGAUAAGACCCAGCAGGAUCAAUUCUGCCUGUUCCUCAGAGUUCUCUUUGUGAUGGUUCUGGAGGGAUUGUCACUGUGGGUGUUGUGCCUGUCACUAGGUGGGAGGAGUGGAUGAGAAGCAACUGUUCAGUGAUCCUCUAUCCUGCUGGGCUUGGGUACCCACUUGCUGGAUGCUUUUCUCCCAUCCAACAUGUUUGGAAAAACGAGUUUUUCCUCUUCCAGAAUUUCUGACCAGCUCAUUCCUACUCCACACUUGUUUGUCCCUUUGUGGACCCUUGUUUUAUUUUUAUAUUCUGGAGAAGCAGAUGUUUGGAGAGAGAGAUGGUGUGUCUGAAGUGCUGCAUCAUCUCACCUCUAAAGGAUUUUCUGUCUCAGGAGAGUUUUCUUUUCCAUCCUCUUCUCACCAGCCAGAUUUUUUUUCUGGGAAUUGCCUUCCUGAAUCUGCCAAUCCCUUUUUGUCAUAUCUGCUGUAUUCCCUGGCUGCAAAGAGAGAAUUUUCAAGCUGGUUACCAUAGUAAGGAUUGACAAACCCUUGUCUGGAAAGAAAGGGCUUCUGAGAAGGCAGAUUGUCAUUACAGACCAAAAUAUUCCCAUUAAAGAC